AUGUUCAUGCACCAGAGAGCUGUUCGUCAUGCUGGGAGACCGUUGAUCCGCUAUGGUCCAUUGUUUCCCCGGGAACAGGAGAGGAUCCAAAAUCUGAACUACAUCUACAACUGCAAUGACGUCGAGGCUCUGUGGAUGCUUAGAAUGAAAAGAGCACCAUUUGCCAGGCUUGUCGAGACCUUCAGGAGCAGGAGCCUGUUACAAGAUAGCAUCAACACCAGUUUCAAAGAGCAAGUGGCCAUGUUCCUCCAUGUUGUUGGCCAUAACCAGAGGUUCAGGGUCAUUCACAACACGUUCAGGAGGUCAAUGGAGACCAUCUCUAGAUACUUCAAGCAGGUGCUUUUUGCUGUUGGGGAGCUUAGAGGAGAGAUGAUCAGGAGACCAUCUGGCCAGACUCCACCAAAGAUUCGCGGAAGCCCAAGAUGGUAUCCAUACUUCAAGUUCAGCACUAACACAGGCUAG
rnacentral:rRNA from 1 species